GAGAGAAAGUGUUGUGGGUGUCAGUCACAAAAUGGCUGCUGUGGUGGUGUGGCAUAAUGCAAAAUGGCUGCUUUGGGGGCAUGGAGGAGAGACUGAGACAACGCAGAAAGGAGCUGAGCAGGAAGAACGUUCUCUUAUGCAGUGUGGUUUUUUGACUGGAUAUUUACUGAGACCUUUUGCACAUGGGGAGGUCACUUCAGUGCUGCUAACGCACCAGUCUGACUUCACCCCUGGAGGUGCACUCCAUUGCCUCUCAAGACAGACAGAUGCCAAUAACCACUGAGCACAGCAGCAUCUGUGGGCACUGUGUUGAUGAUAUGUGCCUGAUCCUAUACAUUGUGCAUGUAGGAAAAGAGAGAGUGUGUUGUGUCUGUCCUGUUCCUACUAGGGCUAGUGAACUUGUAACUUCUGAACCCUUUCCUCAGCAGUGGAAUUAAGUGUUUUGUUCAGAAUUUUCUUGUUUGACUUGGGUUGUCAUUUAGUCCUGGCAUGUGUGUAAGAGGAGCAGGACCAUGGGUGCCUGCCUCAGCCCCUGACAUAAUUUUUUAAAUAAAAUAAAUUAAAAAUAUUUAAACACAGUACUGCUGUGUAAAUGAUACUUGUGUGUAUAUGGCUUUUUCCUAUAACUAGGGAGCCCUGACUGCCCCUGGAGUUUGUAAUUGCCUUAUAAAGCUUUACGUGGGUAGACUGUUCAAAUGCCGAAUGUGUCAACAUUAUAGGUGUGGUCAGCAGGGUGUGGUCUGUUUUCUCUGAGUGUGUGCAUGUGAUCAUGAAUGGUUUUAUUGUGAUGCAAUAAGCAAAACUCCUCAAAUUCCUUUUCCUACUCAAGCCACUUGGGGUUUAUUAGCUUCAUUCAAAGGGUCUACAGAAACUUGUGGAAAUAGUUGGGCAUAUCAGUAGUCGAUCUUGAAUUUGUUUUAUUUUCCCCGACGGUAGAGAUGGAACCUAUUUUGACAGGGGCCAGAUUAUCAAACAUGUUAAAAAGGUUAUGUCUCGGGGCCUGUGAUUUUCACAAUACAGUGCUGGUGCAGUCUACUAAUUGCCCCCCGACCAUCUCCCAGUUAAAGGGGCCCUUCUCAGUAGACUGGGCCUAGGGCACGUGAACUUUCAUAAGAUGAAAGGCAUUGGUUUCGAAGACAAUCAAAUGUAUUAAACGGUCUGCUAAGACCUACAGCAAUGUCCAAAUGGUUUGCAAAGAGAAAGUCCGAGUUCUGCCUUGAUUAGUCACUUGUUCCUUUUUCCUUUGCAUGUUCUUCAGUCCGUCACUGAGAUACUAGGUGGCAGGAAGAGUCCCUAAAGCUGUUUCCUAAGCAUACUAUGGAUUGUAGCCCUGCAGGCAGAAGUUCUUUCUUUCAUAUAGCUGUUGUACAGCACUGCAGUAGAGGUAGAACAAAGCCACUGUGGCUUAUAGCCAUUGAUAGCUCUUUCCAUGAAUUUGUCUAAUUCUCUUUUAAAGCCAUCCUUCCUGAGUUAGGGCAUGUAUACCUUGAAUUUUAUGGCUGUUUGGCCUCACUCUGCACCUGUUGCAUGUGCAUAAGGUAACUUGGUAUGUGAGGAUAACCCAUCACAAAGCUUCUCUGUUAUUGUUUGCUCUUUUUAAAAAUUUAAUCCUUAACAUAAAAAAGAUGUGACAAAGCUAACACCCCUCUAGCCGAUUCCUGCACAAAGCAAACAUUUAUCUGACAGAAGCGGAGUACAUAUCUAAUGGAUUCCCCCCCCCCCCAUCAUUAGCGUGGUCUCAUCCAUUUUUCUAAUGGUAUGUUUAGUUAGAAGUCAUGAUUAUGUUCCACAUGAACCCUGAUGUUGUGUUUAUAUUUUGCAUUAUUAACUAUAUUAGUGAGAUGUGUAUGGAGAUGAAAAUGAGCUAUGGGAGAUCUGAGACAGAACAAGGAUUCUGAUGAGCUGGUGAUGAUAUUAUCCAGAUGAGGGAAUAUGGCAGGCAUUAGCUGCAUUUUAACCAUCUGUCUAAUCUUUGCAGCAAAAAUGAAACCAUGGGCAGCUCUGCAGAGUGCACUAGCGCUGCAUCUCAGAACGUGUCCUGAACAUUUAAAAAAAAUGCGUAUUUCUCACAAACAGGGUGAAAUUAAAUUUUGCUUUAGAAAUCAAAGUGUUGAGGUGAGAUGCAAAGGUCUGCAAGCCUCCAGUGCUCAUACGUAACUCUGCAUGAGCUGCCCCACCUUCAUUUCUGAGCUAGGACAUCCACCACCAGCACAGAGCUUUCCUCCCCAUUGAAACGAAUAGUGAGAACGCUUCCUGUGUGUCCCCAGGUGACCCCUCCCAGGAGCAUACUGCUGCUCUUAGGUGGCUUUACUGAGUGCCUAAGAUACAGGUAUCUGUUAAUGCUGGAGGCAGAAGAUAGUUUUAGGGAGCACCUGGUGGUAGCCAUUCCAGCAGGCUGUGUUGGAGGAAAAGAAGGGAAGCAGGGCUCAUUCCAUCAGCUCUGCUGAAAGUCCAUCUCCAUCUGGCACCUCCUGCCUCUGAACUGCUUCCAUUCCAGCUGGUCAUUUAUAAAAAUAUUAAAGAACCAUAUCCUGGUUUCCCUGCCCCCCAUCUCUCCAUGUUCUCCCCCCACCUUUUGUGCCAUGUAUUUUGAUGGUAGGGUGUGCAGACAGUGACAUUCCUGUUUCAGUUGAUUGGGUGAAAACCACUCUGAGAGCCAUUUUGGCUGAAGUGUGAGGAGCAAAUAUUAUUAAAAAAAACAAGUAAAGAAAAUGGCAAGAUCCACUUGACGGUGCUGGUAGGGCUUUGCACCAUCUAGAGGGCCAAAGAUUCCCCACGCCUGCACUAGAAUUAGAAAUACAUGCAAAAUCAGAGCUUCAUAAAUUUAAUGCACUUUAAAAGGCACAUUUGGAGAGAAAAUAUGCUCUGGCUAGUUCACCAGCCAUGGCCCAUUUUGGACAAGAAUGACCUUGCUCCUGUACUCCAUGCUCUCGUAACUUAUUGCAACGCACUCUACGUAGGGCCGCCCUAUGUAGAUGAAUGGGAAAAUUCAAUUGGUCCAAAAUAUAGCAGCCAGAAUACUUGCUGGGUUUCUGUUUAGAUUUCAUAUAACCUCCAUUUCAGAGCAGCUGCACUGGUUGCCAGUUUGUUUCUGGACCCAAUCCAAGAUGCUUACGUUAGAUUUUACCUGUACCUUAAAAAUGGCACCUUCUGCCCCACCUCCACUGCCCUCCCAACCUGAAUUUCCUGCGAUAUGGAAUGUGGGACUCAUGGUGGACAAGAAAGUCCUUCUGCACACAUUAUAGCAAAGGCAGAGAAGAAGGUUAAGCCAUUCAGGCCUCUCCUUCCCCUGCUUCAGUGCUCUCACUAAUACUCCUGUGCCUUUAAUCCAUUUUGAUUAUAUUGUAGCGCUUCAAAUUCUUCUAUUAUUGAAAGAGAUUUAACUACUAGCCAUUUAGAUCUAGCAGCAAGGUUAUAGUGCUAAGAAGGUUUUUUAUAAUGUACUGUGGAUUUAAAGGUUGGUUGUUGUGUUUUUUUUAAAAAAAAGGAUGUAUAAGCCUCUAGCUGAAGUUUUUAAAAAAGUAUAAAAAGCCUAAUUUUUUAAGCGUUUCGUUUGCUCACUAGAGUGCAGCAGAGAAAGCACAAAUCAGGGUUAGGUGUGCUUUUAGUAAUAAUGACCAGCUAGAUUAUGAAUCAGCCAAGUGCAUUUGCAGACACUUUGAGCAAGCUUGAGGGCAGAAUCAUAGCAACAAAUAUAUCCCUGCAGUCAUUUUCAUGCCAGUAGAUAUUAAGCAUGAUUUCUACUGCAAGAAACUGGAAUCGAGGUGAUAGUAGCACAGUAAUUAGUUCAAUUUGGCAUUUCACUUGUUUUGAUCAAGUGUGCAGUUUUGGGUGCUGUUGGAUCCAUUCCUGUCCAUGGAGACACAAGGAGCCUCUGUAGCGCUGAGGGCUUUCUACCAGCUCUAGCUGUUGGCGUAGCUCUGGCCCUCUUUGAUGGGGAUAACUGGGCCUCAGUGAUCUAUGUUCCCGUUACCACUACACAUUGGACUACUGCAAUGCAUUAUAUGUUUGGCUGCCUUUGGAGAUGGUUCAGACAUGAGGUAGUGCAACAUUGAGUGCCCAGAUUAUUGACAGACCUGGAGGUCCAAGCAUAUGGCACGAAUUCUCCGCCAGCUGCACAGGUUGCCUAUUGAUUUCUGAGCUCAAUUCAAAUUGCUGGUUUAAACUUAAAAAGCAGGGGUUGGGAACCUCCAGUCUGCAAACUAAUCUUGGCCCACUAGAGCAGGGGUCAGCUAACUUUUUCAAGCAGGGGGCCGGUCCACUGUCCCUCAGACCUUGUGGGGGGCCGGACUAUAUUUUUUGGGGGGGUAAGGGGGGGAGAACGAAUUCCUAUGCCCCACAAAUAACCCAGAGAAGCAUUUUAAAUAAAAGGACACAUUCUACUCAUGUAAAAACACACUGAUUCCUGGACCAUCUGCGGGCUGGAUUUAGAAGGCGUUUGGGCCGGAUCCGGCCCCCGGGCCUUAGUUUGUCUACCUAUGACUAGAAAGUCCAAUUUGGCCAUUUUCCUCAGACAGAGGAAGAACCAUGAAUCUAAGUGCACAACAAUGACUUAGAAACAGGGGCUGACAGACACUUAGAACUGAAGAGACAGGACUUCGCUCAGGACUUUUUAGUACCGGAACUGAGCUUGUAAUCCUUUCACACAAAAAGUCUACUCAUGUAUUCCCCCAAAGCUUUUAUCAUUUUGGGAGCCAUUUUUUGGGAGGAGGGGAGUCAAACAUCCAUGGUGAUCUGCUACAUAUAAUCUAGAGGCCUACCAGUGUCGCUCCAUCUUUCUUCUGCCCACCACUGAUCCAGCCUGCUCUGACUAGGAGUGCCUCUCUAGGGUCUCAGGCAGAGAUUUCCCCCUAUCACUUCUUCCCAGAGCCAUGAAUUGAACCUUGGGGCAGUUGUAUGUGAAACAGAUGCUCUUUCGGGGACCACAAGACUACACUUCAGAUGUCUCACGUCGUGUCUCACGUAACAAGCACGAACGUACUAGACCGGUCUGUCUUUAGAUUUCUGAAAUAAAGAGUUAUUGGUUGUCGUCUUGUAUUCUGGAGGGAGAACAUUAUUCAGGGUGAUGGAGCGUAACAUGCAACAGGUAGUUUAUAGCUCCUCUCUCAAAUAAAAUAGAUAUAUAGGAAGCAACUUUAAAAUAUGAAAAUGAAACUCGUAAUAGGCAUUCCUCAAGGACUCUGUAGC